rnacentral:rRNA from 1 species
UACGGGGGGAGCAAGCGUUGUUCGGAUUUACUGGGCGUAAAGGGCGCGUAGGCGGUCAGCACAAGUCAGUUGUGAAAUCUCCGGGCUUAACUCGGAAAGGUCAACUGAUACUGUGCGACUAGAGUGCAGAAGGGGCAACUGGAAUUCUCGGUGUAGCGGUGAAAUGCGUAGAUAUGACAUAGAACACCAAUUGCGAAGGCAGCUUACUACACAGUGAUUGACACUGAGGCACGAAAGCGUGGGGAUCAAACAGG